GAGGAAGAGGGAAAAAAUUGAAUUAUUUCCAAGAGUGACAGAUAGAGAGAGCAGCUUGACAAAUUGGUAAACAAUGGCGUAGGAAGAGAAGAAGAUUCUUCAAAGUUCACUAGAGAGAGAGAGAGAGAGAGAGAGAGAGAGAGAGAGGCAGCGAGAAAGGAGAGAUUGAGAUUGAGAGAGAGAGAGAGAGAGAGACCGAGAGGCAGAAAAAGGAGGAGGGAAUAAAGUGUGAAGUUGAUGAUUGUUUUGGUUUUGGAGAGUUCUGGAGGUCAAAGAGGCGUUAAUUUGAAGGAAACGAAGAACUAAGAAGAAGCCCUGAAAGUUUCAAAAUGGAUGGGAAUGGAGUAGAGAGGGACCUGGAGAUAGAGGGUGGUGGGGUGGCGAUGAUCAUGGCGAAUGAUUAUGGCAAACAAGACAGGGAAGACAAUACUUCAGAACCUUCAUCAGACGACGUCGUCAUCAAAGAAUCCUAUCUCCGAGAGCCUUUGCUUCUCAAGAACAAUAGGAUGAACAACACGUCGCAGCUCGCCAUUGUUGGAGCCAAUGUUUGCCCUAUUGAAAGUCUUGAUUACGAGAUCAUUGAGAAUGAUUUAUUUAAACAAGAUUGGAGGUCUAGAACGAAGGUCGAAAUAUGCCAAUAUAUUGUUCUUAAAUGGACUCUUGCACUUCUAAUUGGUUUGAGCACAGGGCUUGUUGGCUUUUUUAAUAACCUUGCUGUCGAGAACAUUGCUGGUUUCAAGCUUCUACUCACUAACAGUCUCAUGCUCAAAGAAAAGUAUUAUCAGGCCUUUGUGGCAUUGGCCGGUUGUAACAUGAUUUUGGCCAUUGCCGCGGCCAUCCUCUGUGCCUACAUUGCCCCUGCAGCAGCUGGGUCUGGCAUACCUGAGGUGAAGGCCUACCUCAACGGUAUAGAUGCCCAUUCUAUAUUGGCUCCAAGUACCCUCUUUGUCAAGAUCUUUGGUUCAAUUUUUGGUGUUGCUGCGGGGUUUGUUGUUGGUAAGGAAGGACCUAUGGUACAUACUGGUGCUUGCAUAGCCAAUUUACUUGGACAAGGUGGUUCUCAAAAGUAUCGGCUGACAUGGAAAUGGCUCAGAUUCUUUAAAAAUGAUCGAGAUCGAAGGGAUUUGAUCACAUGUGGUGCGGCUGCUGGGGUUGCUGCUGCCUUCCGUGCUCCAGUUGGUGGUGUCCUUUUUGCACUCGAAGAAGCAGCUUCAUGGUGGAGGAGUGCUCUUCUGUGGCGGACUUUCUUCACAACAGCAGUAGUAGCAGUAGUACUGAGAAGUUUCAUGGACUUGUGUCGGGGUGGAAACUGUGGUCUUUUUGGGGAAGGCGGGUUGAUAAUGUUUGAUGUUAAUGAAGCAAAGCCCGCAUACAGCACCCCUGACCUCCUGGCAGUUGUAUUUCUGGGUGUCAUUGGAGGGAUUUUGGGAAGCCUUUACAAUUACCUUGUGGACAAGGUCCUUCGCACUUAUAGCAUCAUGAACGAGAGAGGCCCUAUAUUUAAAAUUGUGCUUGUUGUCACAAUCUCCCUUUUGACCUCUUGUUGUUCAUUUGGCCUUCCAUGGCUAUCAAACUGCAUCCCUUGCCCUCCUAACUUGGGGGACCAGUGUCCCACCGUAGGUCGCUCUGGCCAUUACAAGAAUUUCCAAUGUCCCCCUAAUCAUUACAAUGAUCUUGCUUCUCUCUUUUUCACUACUAAUGAUGAUGCCAUCCGCAACCUCUUUAUAGCAGGCUCAGACAAGGAGUUUAAUCUCUCUACACUUCUAAUCUUCUUUGUUGCCAUAUACUUCCUUGGAAUCAUCACUUAUGGAAUUGCUGUUCCCUCUGGACUAUUUAUUCCUGUCAUACUUGCCGGGGCCUCAUAUGGGCGGCUUGCUGGCUGUCUUUUAAGUCCAUUCACUGUACUUGAUGUUGGAUUGUUCGCUCUCCUUGGAGCUGCAUCCUUCCUAGGCGGUACCAUGAGAAUGACUGUUUCUAUUUGUGUCAUACUCCUUGAACUCACCAAUGACCUCCUAAUGCUACCACUGGUGAUGCUGGUUCUUCUUGUUUCAAAGACUGUGGCUGAUAGCUUCAACAAAGGUGUAUAUGAUCAGAUGGUGAAAAUGAAGGGGCUGCCUUAUAUGGAAGCACAUGCUGAACCAUACAUGAGGCAUUUAGUUGCAAGUGAUGUUGUCUCUGGCCCUCUGAUCACUUUUUCUGGGGUUGAAAAAGUGGGAAAUAUCAUCCAUGCCUUAAGGAUUACUAGGCACCAUGGCUUUCCUGUAAUCGAUGAACCUCCUUGUUCGGCUGCUCCUGAGUUGUUUGGGUUGGUUUUACGGUCACAUCUGCUUGUGCUUCUUAAAAGGAAGAAGUUCACAAAGCAGAAGAUGAUGACUGGGUCUACUAUUAUGAGAAACUUCAAAGCACGGGAUUUUGCAAAGCCAGGGUUGGGCAAGGGCCCCAAGCUUGAGGAUUUGGACAUUUCAAAGGAGGAGAUGGAAAUGUAUGUUGAUCUCCAUCCAAUUACUAACACGUCACCGUAUACAGUGGUGGAAUCAAUGUCUCUAGCAAAAGCUGCAGUUCUUUUCCGGGAGCUCGGCCUCAGACACUUGUUGGUGGUGCCGAAGACACCUGCAAGACCUCCAAUAGUUGGGAUCUUGACGAGGCAUGACUUCAUGCCUGAGCAUAUUUUGGGACUAUACCCUCACUUGGACCCUCACAAGUAGGCGAAGCAAUAAGAUUUUUGUAGAUUACAAUCUUCAGUUCCCUUCAAAAUCAUUACAAAGCGCCAUGUAAUCAAUCCCUUUGAAACUUGAAGAUUAUCAGAUUGAGGAUGCAAUUCUAUAGAUAGCAAAUUUUGCAGAAUCAAUCCCUGGCCCAGACUUUACAGAAAAUCCUAACUUUAAAGGAAACUCCAAGAAGAAGUUGACAAUGCUUGGAGUGGAAGCUAUGGAAUUGAUGGCAAGACUUUCUUCAUAAUCAAGUAAUUUAUUUGCCGCCCAGUAUUAGUUAACAGACAAAAUAUGAUGACUCAUUGUUGAAAUGUGAUCAAGAGAAAAAAUAUCAAACAUAUUGUCGCAUCUGGCUCGAUAAAUGUGCCAGCAAAUCAGUAAUUUCAGCCUUCUCAAAUUCAAGCACCUACAUUUAAA